UGGUUUUUUUCUCUUUUAACGUCUGCGUGUUUGGAGUACUUACUCAUUUUCUUCACUACGGAGCUCCAGAGCAAAAAGCAGCCGCUACAAGUGGGGACCCCAACAUGAUUCAGGAAUCUGUGCAUCCAGGGAGCAUUUUUGUCGUCUGGACUACGAGGGGAAUCAUCCUGGACCAACUUACAGCGGGACUUACAGAACCUUUCCUGAGACCAUGGAACACUCCUGUAUUCAUCAUACAUAAAAAGAACAGAUAGAUCUGCCAACUGAUGACCUCCCAACACCAUUAUGAAAAGACUGGCUGAAGCUUACACCUUUCUCCUACUCAUACUCCAUCUCUAAUUUUAAGUAAAAAAGGGGGACGUGUAGGGGCUGGGCCUAGAAGAAAGGAUGGGUUGAUGGAUGGAUGGAUGGAUGGAAAGAACGUGAGCAGGUGAAUGAAGGGUCAGGUGAAAAUGUGUUUUGAGUAAUCAUUUUUUAGCUACCGAGCCCAGGAGCAAAAAGCAAUUGUAACAUUUCCCUAAUGACUAAUAAUCUGAAGCAUAUUUUCAUCAUCUUUGCCACAUGUAUAUCUUGUUUGUCGAAAUAUCUUUUCAGUGUUUUGUGGGUAAAGGGUGUGGUUCAAAGUAUGGACCAAGUUCAUUUUUUCACCCUAAGUUCACGUUUUUGCGUGUGGAUAUCCAAAUGCUCACCACUAUCUGUUGAGAAGCCUAUCCUUUCUCUACUUCAUUGUCCUUGUACCUGUGAUGAAAAUCAGUUGUCCAUAGAAGUAUGGAUUUAUUUCUGGACUCUAUUCUGUUCCAUUGAUCUAUUUGCCAUCCUUAGGGCAAUACUAUGCUGU